rnacentral:rRNA from 1 species
CCCGCACAAGCGGUGGAGCACGUGGUUUAAUUCGAUGCAAACCGAAGAACCUUACCUACCCUUGACAUGUCCGGAACUUGCCAGAGAUGGCUUGGUGCCCGAAAGGGAAUCGGAACACAGGUGCUGCAUGGCUGUCGUCAGCUCGUGUCGUGAGAUGUUGGGUUAAGUCCCGCAACGAGCGCAACCCUUAUCAUUAGUUGCUACGCAAGGGCACUCUAAUGAGACUGCCGGUGACAAACCGGAGGAAGGUGGGGAUGACGUCAAGUCCUCAUGGCCCUUAUAGGUGGGGCUACACACGUCAUACAAUGGCUGGUACAAAGGGUUGCCAACCCGCGAGGGGGAGCCAAUCCCAUAAAGCCAGUCGUAGUCCGGAUCGCAGUCUGCAACUCGACUGCGUGAAGUCGGAAUCGCUAGUAAUCGUGGAUCAGCAUGUCACGGUGAAUACGUUCCCGGGUCUU